AUAGCCUCUUGUGUAAAAAACAAGGUAAGGUUGCGUACAAUACACCUAUUGGUGGGACCCUUUCCCAGACUCUGUGUAUGCAGGAGCUUUAGUGCACCGGGCUGCCAAAUGCCAAAUACAAAUUUGAGUGAAAAUAAAAAUAAAAACUCAAGGGUUUAUAGAAAUGGUUACCUCGCACGAGGUGUAACCGCUGGAAUUUUACAUGGCUUAAUGAUUUCUAGUAGCUUGAUGUUUAUGUUAAAGUUUGAUUUUAAAUUUGUUAGUUUGCUUAACUUUUAUCCAUUGUUUAAAAAUGAAUAUUAACAAUUCAACAUUGAAUAUCUAGAAGCAAGUCAUAAGGUUUAAACCAUGAAGUGGUAUGUAAAUGACUUUACUGAAAUUCUUCUAUAGUCUUCUUCUUCUUCCUCCUUUUCUUCUGUAAAUUUUGUUAUUUAUAUUGGAAAUCAAUAUUUUGUAUUACUCAUGAAAAAGCGUGCAUGCUAAAAUUGGUUUGCAUUGGAUGUUGACCUUUUGCUGUGUACAAGUCCUUGUUUCUCGUUAAAAGGUUGAGACUGGAGUAAUUAAAAAGAACUUCACAUAUACUAAUGAAGUAUUUAUAUUUUAAUUGGUUUCAUAGAUGCUAAGAAGCCCAAAGAAAAAAUUAUAAAAUACCCAGCCAGGAACAUCAAAUUAUUCUGAGCCUGAGAGUAAUCAUAUGCAAAUGUCGAUCGUUGAAUACAGUGUCACUAAUGAUAUAUUUGAUAGUGGAAAUGUUAUAACUUAUUAUUAUUCAUGACAUUUUAGAAGUGAAAAUAUGUAUAGAAGGGGUUUUUUCUUUAGCUGGUGUUUCACGCAUGGUUGCAUAGCCUUGUUUGCCUGAGUUGUUUGUUAUUAUACUGCAUCGUCUUCAGCGGGCUAUGAAAAUUAAAAUAUACUAUUUCAAUCUAUUGAUCGGUAGCUUUGUAUUUAUUUUUUUGCAUGAUAUGCGCAGCAGAAGAAAAUCCAAAUCAAUCCAGAUUGCUAGUAAUUUCCUCAGACAUCGCAAUUUGUCUGGUAGCUCUCUUCAAUUUAGAGAAGGUUCAUACUGUCCAAAGCGAAUAUCUUUUGGGUUGAAAAAAUGCAAUGACAUGGAGUAUCAUCGUAAUUCUCCAGUACAUAUUUCAGUUAUGAAAUUUUCAACUGCAUCAUUUAGCACGUUGAAGGUAACAAAUCAAACAAGACGGGAAGAAGAGCUGAGCUCUUUGAGUUCUUACGACAGACAAGUUAGGAUGAUGACACAUUUUGGUUCUUGCAGUUACAGAUUAUCCAAAACACCUCGUAGAAAGUUAUCUGGUGAUAGAACCGGAUGGGCUGAGGCUGGGCAUAAAUUGACUCAGAUAAAAAUGGAAAUGCAUGAUCUGGACAAACGUAGUUUGUAUCCAUCCAAUACAAAUACAAUUGCUUCUUCUAUUGCUCAGAAACCAGCUAUUACUCAAAACGAAGGGCACAAUCUUAUGCUGCAUGAUCUAUGUGAACCUGCCUCAUCUUCUGUUCAACAUUCUAUGUUAAACAACUCAAUGUUAUUGAUAGACACCGAAAGAGUUGGUACCGAGUCAAAUGUAUCUUCAUUAAAGACCGGUGAAGAGAAAAUUGAUGGUGUUGAUGGCACCGAGUCAAAUGUGUCUUCAUUAAAGACCAGUGAAGAGAAAAUUGACAAUGUUGAUGGCAAUCACAGUUUGGCUGCUGCUGCAAAAGACGCAACUAAGGCAAAAAUUACUGUUACAAUGACACGCAGUGAUGAACAAUCAAAACUUCGGGAAAGGCUCUGUAGUAUCUAUGAAGACAUACUGGUUGUUAAUAAUAUUUCUCAUGCAGAGCAAGUAGCUAAGAUGCUUACAGUAAAUUACAGGCAUCUUAUUCAUGCAUGUGAUACCGAGGUAUUAUUAUUGACCGUGUUAACUUUUAUUAUGAUUGUGCCCUAAUUGCAACACUGUACACGACUAGAUUCUUUUUCCAAUAUGCAUAUACUUUGGACAUGAGGUCAAUGGAUGUAUCCUUUAGUCUUUUUUUAACUAAUACAAAUUGAGUCUUUUCAAUUAAAGUUGUGCCACUAUGAAUCUCUUGGCUACUUGUAUUUUACGAUGUUGAGCAUGUGAUAUGUGCCGAUUUUGAUUGACUUGAAAGGUAUCCAAGAUAGAUGUCAAACAAGAAACGCCUAUAGAUCAUGGGGAGAUAAUAUGUUUCAGUAUUUAUUCGGGUCCAGAAGCUGAUUUUGGAGGUGGGAAAUCAUGUAUCUGGGUGGAUGUUCUUGACGGUGGAGGCAAAGAGAUAUUGAAUAAGUUUGCCGAUUUUUUUCAAGAUCCAUCGAUAAAAAAGGUGGCUUCUCUUUCUUUUCAUUCUUCCUUUUAUGGUUUUAGUCUUAUUACUCAUCUUUAUGUUCAGAACCUCUUAAGAGUUUGUUUGAUUAUAUUUUGGUAGAAUUGAUUUAAACAGUUUUGAUGUUAAUUUUUUUUUGCAUUUGGGUAUGCUGUUUUAAAAGCGAGUUUAGAAGAAUUGCUUUUGUUUUUUAAGGUAAAAUUAGUAGUUUGACUCAUGUUGUUGUGUCAUAUUAGUAGUUUAUUGCAAAUUGUCAUAUUCAAGUUAGUAGUCUUAGUGUUUAAAUUAAUAUAGUUACCUGGUAGCAAAUUGUUAGGCGUUUUAGGCACAGAACAAAACAUUUGCAUCAUAUUGAAGGAGUAAUAUUUGAUAUAUGUGAUUGUUAAUAUUAAAGGAGUAAUAUUUGAUAUAUGUGAUUGUUAAUAUUAAAGGAGUAAUAUUUGAUAUAUGUGAUUGUUAAGGGCCAAUUGAUAUUCUUAUUUCAUUGCCUAGUAAUGUAAACAGGAAAAGCCCCACCUUUUCACGGUAUCACUUACAGUCUCUACCCAACUUUAUUACAUGAACCUAUAUAUUCUCUCUUAUGUAAUAGUGUUUGAACUUUUAACCAUAUGGGUAAUAGUUGGGCUGUGUUUUAUGCCUUGCAAGCAUAUCAAAUUGAGAUUCAAAUCGUGAAUCAGAAAACCAGUUUUCGAAUCGUUAAUCAAAUCUUGUUAUUAAUAGCUAGAUACAUUAUCAAUAAAAAUAUAACAUUUUUAUGCAAAAUCAAGUGACAUACACAAAAGCAGAAGCUAAUAUAUCAUAUGCUUACCUCAAAUUAAUUUAAGAUUCAAGUAAUAACAUGACAGAAAAGUGCUUGGCUACACAAAAUUGUGGUUGUACAAAGUUCAAGGGAAAGUUGCGCAGAGAUUCAUAUUGAUUGUGUUUUGUUACUAAUUGAGAUACGACUCUCAACUUAGUUAAAUAACUGUUUGCCGUUUCCAGCUUUAUAAUAUACAGGAGGACACUUUUAGUGAAGUACUUGUCAGUCAUGUCAUUCCACAAUCGGUGACAAAAUAAUGGCCUGCAUGUUUGUACUUUUCUAAAUUCGAAAUUAUUAUUAUAUUUUUUACAUAAAAAUGUUUGAAUUUGAGAGAGGGGGGGGACCAAAGAAAAAUAGCUUUGGUGUUCUUCUUGAUAUCUUAAAAAAGGACUGUAAUAGUUCUUAACUAAAAGAUUAUCCAGUUGUAUAAUUCUAGCUUCAUAAAUUGAUAGCGCCAUUUUAUUACUGGGUUUAUGUGACAUAGAUUUGAAAAUGAUAUUUGAAGUAAUAAAGUUACUGGUGCACUUUGUAGGUUUGGCAUAACUAUAGCUUUGAUUGUCAUGUUAUACAAAAUUAUGGAUUUAACGUUUCUGGAUUUCAUGCUGAUACAAUGCACAUGGCACGACUAUGGGAUUCAUCAAGACGUUUGGUUGGUGGUUAUUCUCUUGAAGCACUUAGUGGUGACAAAGAAGUCAUGUCUAGGGGUAAUCUGAACCAUGAAACGGAUUUGAUUGGUAAGGUGUCGAUGACAACCUUAUUUGGUCAGAGAAAGGAGAAGAAAGAUGGAUCUAUGGGUAAAAUCGUUACCAUUGAGCCUGUUGAAGUACUGCAAAGAGAAGAGCGUAUACCUUGGAUAUGUUACUCUGCUUUAGAUGCCAGAAGCACUCUGAAGCUUUAUGAGAGCCUAAAAAGUCAUCUGUCAGAUUUACCUUGGAAACUUGAUGGAGAACUUUUACGCGAAAACAUGUUUGAUUUUUACGAGAUAUAUUUGCAGCCAUUUGGUGAACUUCUUGUCAAAAUGGAAUGUGAGGGUAUGCUAGUUGAUCGGUUAUAUCUUCAAGAAAUAGAAAAGGUGGCCAAAGCAGAGCAACAGGCAGCUCUUAAUAGAUUCCGAAAAUGGGCAUCUAGGUAUUGUCCUGAUGCCAAGUAUAUGAAUGUUGGAAGCGAUACACAGUUGCGUGUACUGCUUUUUGGUGGCACUGUGAACAGGUGCACAUUAUUUAAAUCUUUUGUGGAGCUUUUGCUUCAAUCUUAAUUAAUUGAUAAUUUGAUAGAAAAGUUACAAUUCUAUUUAUGUAAUUGUUCUUAGUUGUUUAUAAUGAAGUGGUUCACGUAAAUCAUUUUUCCUGCCCUGUUAUACAGAAAAAACCACAAUGAGGCAAUUCCAACGGAGCGGAUUUUCAAAGUUCCGAAUGUUGAUAAAGUGAUUGAAAAAGGAAAAAAGAUUCCCUCAAAAUUACGUGAUAUUAAGUUGAAUAGCAUUGGAUGUAACCUGAAUGUUGACAUUUACACACCUAGUGGCUGGCCCUCAUGUAGUGGUCCCGCUUUAAAGGCGCUGGCUGGCAAAGUUUCUGCUGAGUAUGACUUUGAUCUUGAGGAUGAAGAUGGUAAUCCUUCUCAAAGGGAAGAUGAGCCUUUAGAAAUAGAUAAUUCUGCUUAUGGAACAGCCUAUUUUGCUUUUCCAACAGAGGAAGAAGGGAGAGAAGCUUGUCAUGCAAUUGCUGCUUUAUGUGAAAUCUGCUCAAUUGACUCUUUGAUCUCUAAUUUUAUCCUUCCCCUGCAGGUAAUUAUUCUUUUUUCUCUCCAAUAAGUUUAUUCUGGACUUUUUCACUGGUCUGGUUGUGUUCAUGGAUUUUCAUGUCGCUCCUAUAAACUUUGCUUAUACAGUGCGACUGGCAUUUAUAGUGUUUUUUGUCAAAGCAUUUAAAACAUUGUCAAGGUUAGUUUAUAAUGAGGGUUUUUUAUGUCUGCUUUGUGGUAGCUUAAUACGUUUCAAUUCAAUGACAGGGACAUAAUAUAUCUGGGAAGGAUCAGCGUGUUCAUUGUUCCAUAAAUAUCAACACAGAGACUGGACGCUUGUCAGCAAGACGACCAAAUCUGCAGGUUCUUCCAACUCCCAUUUCUUUCAAAUUCCAUACUGGUUGUUGAGUUACUUAAUUUUUUUAAAAUGCCAUGCAUGUUUCUGUCCUUCUGUUUGUCUGUGUAUACGUAUUUUUUUAUAUGAGGGGGUAAGGUUGAUACAAAGUUAUUCCUAUGACCUCACGUAAUAGUUUAACCUUUUAGAAGAGUUGGUUCAUGACAAUGCUAAAUUAAAACGAUAGAUUGUUUAUGUUAGAGCUAUCAAGGAUAUGUAUGAGGGAGCUUCGACUAGUAUGAGGACACAGGAUCAACCUUCAGUCCUUACAUUUUUACUUUAGUUUUGGAUGUGACGGAACACAUCCAAGAGUUAGCACCAAGAUGUAUGCUUUUUGCAGAUGAUGCAGUCCUGCUUGGAGAGUUGAGGGAGGAAUUGAAUGGGAGAUUAGAGACUUAGAGACAAGCCUUAGAAGUGUAUGGCAUCCGCCUUAGUAGAAGCAAGACAGAGUAUAUGGAAUGUAACUUCAGCAAAAGGCAGAGUAGUCCUACCUUGGAGGUGAAAGUUGGAGAUCAUAUCAUACCCCAAGUUACAUGGUUUAAAUAUCUUCCAUAGUACAAAAUAACAGAGAAAUAAGAGCAGAUGUAAAUCAUCGUAUCUUGAGAUGAUGAUGUUGUGUUGGAUGAGUGGUAAGACUAGACGGGAUACGAUUAGAAGUGAAAUCAUUAGAGAGAGAGUUGGGGGCAGCACCUAUAGUAGAAAAGAUGGUAGAAAAUAGGUUUAGGUGGUUUGAGCAUGCAGAGAGAAGACCUGUAGAUGUUGUAGUAAGAAGAGUAGAUCAGAUGGAGGAGAGUUAGAUCAAAAAGGUUGAGGAAGACCUAGAAAAACUAUUAGGAAAUAUUUAGAGAUUAAUGAGUUGGAUCUCAAUAUGGUUUAUGAUAAAACAUUAUGGUAUAAUUUGAUCCAUGUAGCGACCCCACUUAGUGGGAUAAGGCUUGGCUGCUGGUUUGGUUACUGCAUUAAAAAAUCUUUUACUUAAAUCUGUUUUUGUGCCAAUCAAAGUUUCCUUCCCCAUACAGAAAACAUUAUAACGUACAUUUUGGAUUUGGAGGGGGGGAUUUUCAGAAAUUUUUGCUUUGAACUUUCAAAUAGAAGCAUGUAUUACAUUUUCUCAUCAGAUGUAUACUUGGACCACAUUAAUCAUUGUAUUUCAAAAAGUUGCAGAUUUAAUCUAACCUGUAUGAUUCAUAUAUCAGAAUCAACCAGCUUUGGAAAAGGACCGAUACAAAAUCCGUCAAGCAUUCGUAGCUGCUCCUGGAAAUUCUCUUAUAGUUGCGGAUUAUGGGCAGGUUUUUUAGUUUACUUAUCUGUCUAAUUGAGCUAGUUUCUUUGUAUUUCAUUCAUGGUUGAUGGAGUUAUUAUGUAUCGUAACAGUUGGAGCUUAGGAUACUUGCACAUCUUACUGAUUGUAAGAGCAUGUUGGAAGCCUUUGAAGCUGGUGGAGAUUUCCACUCCAGAACUGCAAUGAAUAUGUACCCAUAUAUUCGUGAAGCAGUUGAAAAAAAGGAAGUUCUUCUUGAAUGGCAUCCUCAGCCUGGUGAAGACAAACCCCCUGUUCCUCUCCUCAAGGUAAAUUUACUUCUCAUCAACAUAUCUUAAGAUGGUAAUAACCUUGCAUUCCGUGCACAAUUAGAACUCGUUUUGGUACACCUCGAACAUAGUUCUCGUUAUUGUAAAUAUUACAAUGACGAUAUUAAAUUGCAGAAAAGUUAUGUUAGCACAAACCAACAUCCGACACCGUAUUUUGGUGCAUUUUGAUUUAUUUAUUUUUAAUUAUUUUUCUGUCCUUUGGUCAAACCACACUAACUCGGGAUGUAUUAAAUUAAUAGGGCUAUAUUAUUUUUAUUAAUUUUUUCUAAGUAAUAUAUUUUACUGAAAGGGAACCAAUGACGUACUAAUGUAAAAGGUGACCUAAAUAUAAACCUUUGAGGAAGAAUUAUAAGAAGCGAAUAUAUUUUGUACAGAGGUUGAAGUUCUUUUUACCAGGAAAUAUGUUGUAUCUAUCUCAACCGCAUAAAAUUGGCCUAAAAAUCUGAAAUAUAAAACCUUUGAGGAGGAAUUAUACGAAGCGGAUAUAUUUUAUAGAGCAGUUGAAGUUCUUUAUCACAAAAUCUGCUGUAUCUAACUCAACCACAUAAAAUUGGCCUAAAAAUCUGUAAUAUAAACGGAGAAUUAUUAGAAGCGGAUGUAUUUUAUAGAGCAGUUGAAGUUUUUGGUCAGAAAAUAUGUUGUAUCUAACUCAACUGCAUCAAAUUGGCUUCUGUGGUGAUGACUGUCUAGGUUUUCAAGCUGCAUUUAGGCCAUUUCUCUAGCCAAUGUGGUACUUGGUUUUUCGAAAUAGAGAGCUUUGUUUAGCAGCUUAGCAUUAUAUAGUACCCUUGAAACCUGAGAUAGGUCUUCUUCUGAGUGUUUAGUAGAAAUUUAUGAGAAAACAAGCACGGUAUUAUAUUUCAUAUCAGUUUAUAUCCUUUUCCUUUCUCAGGAUGCCUUUGCUUCUGAAAGAAGAAAAGCCAAAAUGCUUAACUUCUCAAUUGCAUAUGGAAAGACUCCACAAGGUCUUUCUAAGGAUUGGAAGGUACCAUGAAUUCUAUCAUAUAUCACGAGGUGCUUACAUAGGUUACAAGUCUCUGAAUUUUGAUUUGAUUGUACGAAUAUUUUCUGUCAGGUUUCUGUGAAAGAAGCUAAGAACACAGUUGACCUCUGGUACAAUGAUAGAAAAGAAGUUUUGAAAUGGCAACAGAAACGUAAAAAAGAAGCUUUUGAAUUUGGGUGUGUUUAUACGUUGCUAGGACGAGCCCGGCGAUUUCCCGAGAUAUUCCUAGGUCGUCGUAACUUCUACAAAGGUCACAUUGAGCGUGCUGCUAUUAAUACCCCAGUGCAGGUCCUCUAGUCUUUCAAAUAUACUAAGACUACAUUAUUCCCAUAGAACUUCAUAGCAUUUAGAAAUCAUUUUUUUCCCAUUAUAAUGCAACAGGGAAGUGCAGCUGAUGUUGCCAUGCUUGCCAUGUUAGAAAUAUCCAAAAAUAAACAGUUGAAGGAGCUUGGAUGGAAGUUACUUCUUCAGGUUAAUAUCUGUGCAAAGAUUUUUCUUGUUUAUAAUCUCUAUCCUCACUCUUUGUCAAGUUCCAUUCAACCUCAAUAUUUUCAUCCACUUGAAUUUCAAUUUCAAUACCAGUUAUUUUCCAUUCUUCAUAGUACUCCAUAGUUUAUUAUACAUUGGUUUUUGCUUUGUCAUUUUUUUCUUUUCAACCUCAUUUUCCGAUCUCAAUUGAUAUAUGAAUAUAAUGAGCAUUAAAGCUCUGUUAUCAUGGCUUUUGCCUCUAUAUUCAUAUGAAUGCUUUUUCAUAUGUAAGCGUUUUGGCUAAGAUUUUUGCACAUGACAACAUAGGUUCAUGAUGAAGUCAUAUUGGAAGGACCAACAGAGUCAGCUGAGGUUGCAAAGAAUAUAGUUAUUGACUGCAUGUCAAAACCCUUCAAUGGCCAAAAUAUUCUUAAAGUUGGCCUCACUGUGGAUGCCAAGUGUGCCCAAAACUGGUAUGCCGCAAAAUAAACAUCAAAUCAAAACUGUUGUGCCGCGGUUUGGUGGGGUAGUUUUGCACCCUUGGCUUUAAUACGAAGGUCAUGGAUGAACUUGGUUGCAUACAAAACUGUAUUGUUUCUCUGGUGACUAUAAUCAAAAGAGGUUGUGAUGCAACUUGGGGUGCCUUCUAUUUUUGCAUGGAAAAAGUAAUGUCCUUUUGGUCUCAUGUUAUCCUCUUUCAUUUUUAGAGAGGUUAUGGAAAUGGUUUCAUUGUGAAUUUUGUGUAUAGAAUUUUUAAUUAUGAAGCAGAAGGCCAAAAUCAAUGGUGUCCAAUUAAGCACCGAUACCAAUAUGGACACCGGACACGUCAUUGGCACGUCGACACGGGUGAUAAUUUCAUAAAGUAAUUAAUUAAAUGCCGUUGCACGUGUCAUUGUUGUGUCGUUACUAAAAAUUAGUAUCAGCGUUUGUUAGCUCUACUCUGUUUUUUUCUUCUUGUUUUUAUUUUACAAGCUCAUAGUAUGUUUUGUCUUGUAUAAUGUACCAAUGUGGCUCUAUGCUUUGUGCAACUAUGUAUUAUUUUGUAUAGUUGUAUAUAAAACGAAAAUUUCAAAUUCCAUCUCAUUUGCCAAUGUACAUGACUGGUUGCAAACUCAUUACAUCUCCUGCAUUAUUGAUACUAUUUUAGACGAAUUAACAUUAAGAAAGUUAAUGCUAAACGCAGCUGCAAAGAAAAUGUGCUUGUGAAUGUUGAUAUUUUUUAUUUAUUUUAUAAAGAUAAUAUUGCUGAUAAUUGUGGAGCUCAAAGUAGGUGUUAUUAAGAUUAUCACCAAACCCAGUUAAUGAACAAUAUGCUGGUCUUUUUAUUUUUUUUUUAUUUUUAAGAUUGUAAGAUUCAGUUCAAUUUUUAAUUACAGUAACUAAAUUCUUGAAAUAUUGACAAUUAUUUCACAACGCCUACACAAACGUUACCGUUUAUACCUCAAGAAGAAAAAAAUAGUUAAGAGUUUAUGAUUAAUUAAUGCAUUAACCUUUUCUAAUUCAUCCUUUUUGUAUACACACCGUUUUCCACUAUAUUUCCUUCUAGGCUUAAAUAUGUAUUUGAUUCAUGCAAUUAGGGAUCGUUUAAAAAUUGGUCCCUGUAAUCGCUAAUCCUUGCAAACUAGCCUUGCAAUCAUUAAUCAUUUAAAAUUUCGUCCUUUGACCAAUUUAAUCAUUGCCACGUCACUAAUUUGAUGACGUGGCAAUCACUGGCACACAUGAAAUUCCAAUUUUACCUUUAAGAAGAGGACAAAAUAUUGAAGAAAGAAUUGGAAACCCAGGGGUAAAAUUGGAUUUUCAUGUGGCGUGGCAGUGAUUAAGUGGGGAGAGUGACGAAAUUUUAAAUGAUUAAACAAUACAAGGGUAAAUUGCCAAGAUUAGCGAUUACAGGGACCAAUUUUUAAACGACCCCUAAUUGCAAGGAUCAAAUACAUAUUUAAGCCUUCCUUCUAUUUGUAAGACUAUGAACUUCCUCAUUUUCACAUCCCUUCCAUUGAAACACAAUGUAGUAAGUAUAUAUGGUAGUGUCAUCCAGUACGAUGGGAUAAAAAAGGAUAGAAUCACCUUCAAGUAUAUCCAGCUAGUAUAUAUGAUAAUGUCAUCAUAGGUUUAGUUUGUUAGUUAGAAAAAUGUUUACCAAAAUGUAUCCAAAAAUUUCAUUGCUCUCUUAUGUCAUGAUGUUUGCUUCAUGUAACCAAUCGAUCUGCAAGAUAAAGAGGUUGAUUUGGAAAAUACUCAAUCACCGGUGGACAAGAACAAAAAUACCUUCAGAUUCAAUUUCACACGCCGGUGAUGUUGUGAUAUAGUCCAUAGUUAGAGCUACAAUAAGUAGUUUGAAGGAUAUUCCUGCAAGUGUUGUGAACAUUCUAGAUAGAAGAUUUAAGUGUCCCUAGCUCUAUUCUAAUGGCUACUAAUAUAAUUCUCAAGAAUUUUUAUUAAGACCAUAUUCCAUUUAGUAAAUUAGGAUGGAUUUGCAUCCAAACUUAAAUAUACAAAUUCAAAUAGAAGAACUCCAUAUUUGAAGGAUUGCUUGAUUAAAUACUGAAACAAUGGGGGACUUUAUGAACAAAUAUAUGUCUCUUCACCAAGAAUAAGAAACCAUGUUGGAAAGUUUCGUGAUUAGCACCUCGCUAAAUAAUAAUAUCUCCCAAGUCCCACCUAAUCAAUAAAGAGAAAAUGUGUAUAUGAAACCAUAAGGUUUUUAUUUCUUUAGACAUUACACAGUGCUGUCAAAUUUCUGCCAUAGCAGUAUGGCAUGACAGGUUUUGUGCCACCAUAGUCCACCUUAGGCCACAAUGCCUUGUUUAUAUGGUGGAGUUUUGGUUGGCUCUUGGCCACCAUUAAUGAUAACAUUGUAUACAACUUAAGAGGAAUGACUAAAAUCUUAUGAUAUGGCUUCAUUCAUCAUCUGUUUAAAAGAUAUAGGCAGCAAAUAAUUUAGCCACCAAGGGAAAAUUAUUGAUAUCAAACAUGAACUUAUAGAUGUUAGAAACAAAAGUAUAAACCAUGCAACUUAAUAGUUUCAUCCAUUAAAUCUGCAAUAUCAUCAAGGAAGUACUAAAUGUGAAAUAUGUUACUUUCAUAAGUUAAUCAUUAUAACCAGAAUAAAUUGAGGUUCAAAAUAAUCAAAAUUUCUAUUUUAGAUAAAAAAAAAAUAUGUUUAUGAUUAUAUCCACAUAAUUGAAAUACUCUAAUGCACAAGAUCUUCAUUAAAAGCAAUCCAUAAUUUGCAAUACAUAAAAUAUUUGAAUCGGUAGAUAAAGUGAUAAACGCAACAAAAUCAGUAGCCUAAUUCACUUUGAUAUUUCCAUGAUCAGCAAAAUAUCCCAAGUUCGGUGCCAGUUUAUAUUUAUUAUUACUACCAAUUGAAAGCAACUAUAGCAAGCUGCACAAAAAAGGGGACUACUAGCAACAAACUGAAGUAAACUAUUACACAUAAUUAGCAAAAAAAAUGUGGUUUACAAAUCAAAACGUAUUAUGGCUUAGCUUUGGCUCCAACAAUUUCAACCUUAGAGCCAAAUCUUGCUUGUUUGAGCUUCACAACCUCUCUUUCGAGUUUCUCAAUCCUGUUUUCAACAUCAAAUGCAAUGUCUAAGAUCGAAGGACCAACACUUUCCUCUUUCUCACCAUUUCCAUCACAAAAUAGACUAUUUAUUUCAUCUUCAUCAAGCACAUCUGAUGAUGUAAAAUCACCAAAUUCAGAACUACACAAAGCCUUACCAUUUCCAACUACUUCAUCAUCAGAACUUGAUAGUUCAUAAACUAUGUGAUCCUCUUUAUCAGAAGCUUCCUUUUGAUGUUUCUCAAGCUUUGAAGUAAAAUCAGGUAGAGUUAGGCCAUCAGAUUUUUCAACCUUGAUUCUAUCAUAGCAUCUAGAAGUAACAUUUGGUUGUCUAGAACACAAUUGAAUGAGCAAAUCUAAAUCCAAUAUUGUGAUCGGCUCGUUAUAAAUCAUCCAAGGAUCCUUCUUACAGAGAAAAACCUCACCAGGAAUAUCUUGAUCCAUACCAAAUUGCAUUGCGACACGAUGAUGGAAGUACUUCUCUUUACAUCCCAUACCAACCAACUCACAAACCCUCAAACAUCGAGAAAACGACUCUAACUCUUUAUCUAAACAAGGAUUACCACAUCUCCACAUAUCCUUUUCAUUAUAGACCUCAAUACAUGGUGAAUUCUCAUAUGGUUGCCACAAAAAUCCAUCUCCAAAACCUGCACAAUCCAUGACCUUUUUCAAGAUUUUAGUUUUCAUCAUUUCUACCCCAUCUAGCCACCUUUGGUAAACCGUGAUGCCCUUUGCCAUAAGGGCGUGGCUUCAAUGCUUGAAACCUCUCUAAGGCCCAAAUUUGAACCAAUUGAAAAGGUGCCCAAAUAGGUUCUCUAAAACUCUUUAUGGUUGUUGUGGCAUUUUCAUUAAUGGUGCUAUUAAGCAAAUUUAAGUCUCUAUAAAUACUAGCUAAAACAGCACGUGCUAGAAUUUAAGGAUCAGAAUGUACCAUGAAAGUGGCGUUGUCGAUGUUUCUGAAUUUAACCCGAAGUUGCAGUUAUUAACAUUCCAAACCCGAAAGGUGAGAGUUUGUUUUUAAUUCUUUUUUAACUAUAGUUUUUUUAAUUAUGCAAUCUUACUAGUUACUCGAUAAUUUACCUGAUAAUAGAUUCGUUAGAUGUGUCAAAAACUGAAAUCCGGAGAGAUAUUUUCAAUGGAUCGAGUUUAUAUCCAGAUUGUAAAGUCCAAAUGAUCCUAAUUUCAAAUAAUCUUGAAUUUGCAAAGACGCUCGGCUAUCUACGUCAUCGAGAUCGGGCACCUAUCCUCCGCACAGAGAUGACUCGUUCCUCUUAUUAUCUGCACGAUUUUGCGAGUACAGUAUAUAGGUGGAAAGAUUUUAUAUCUAGCCCCGCAAGCCUUCCUAAUUUGCCGAUGUUUGUAAGUAUUUCCGAUAUCUGCUCUUAUUUUUCCACUGUUUUGGUCUUUGAAACUUUUUAUAGGACUACUAUGGUUCACUGAUAUGUAAUCAGUUUAAUGAAAAGCUUAUGUCUUCACUAAAAAGCUUUGACUUCAGAUAGAAUGUCUUUAUGGGGUUGUCUUUUGGCCGGUGGUGUAGAAAGAGUGAGACUUGGAUCAUAUAACCCACAUUGAUUCCUAAAAAGUUCAAUUAGUUGUUAGACAUAAUUAAUUGAUUAUGAUUAAAUGAAAAUUUUAUGAGCCAGGCGGGAUAGAUAUCUUACAGAAGUUUCCAUUGAAACAUCCUUAUCUUCUUCAAUCAUAUUGAGAGACAGAACUUCCUUAAAUGCAGAUGAAUAUAUUAAAACUAGUGUGAGACCCGUGUCGAUGCCACGGGCUUAUAAAUAAUUGUAGCGGUCGUCAAUUAAUCAAACAAUACAACUAAAAAUAUGAAUAUGAAUCAAAAGUCUACCUAAUAAAUAUGAACAAAAGAAAAAGGUUUGCAAAUCCAAAAAUUUAUUUAAAAUAAAACGAUUCCGUAAAUCAGGUGACGACUCAGUGCAGUUUUAAAACAAAAUAGAGGGAAAGAAAUAUUUCAAACAAAAAAAUUCAAGCAUUGUAACAUAGAAAAAAAAUUCAUGCACUAUAUUGUUUAUAAAUAAAAUUACCUUUUGAUGUUAUAUACUAAAUUGUGAUGCCCUUGCACGGGUUACAGUUAAUUGCGAUCUUCAUUCAUCAUUUAGUCAAUUAAUAUCACUAAACAGUAGAAAUAUUUUUUUCCAAACGAUUAAAAAAUAGAUCAAAUGAAAUAUGACACAAACAUUAAAUCAAAGAGGUUGAAAAAAUAAACAUUUAGAUUCAUUCAGACAAACAAAAUCAUUCAAUCACAUACAAUUUUAAAAAAAAAAAUGUAUGGAGAAGAAUUACAAAGAGCAAAACGCAAGGAACAAAGUUAUAUACCAUCAAUUUAUCGGUGAAUAAACAUAUCUUACAAUUUUAGAAAUUGUUUUAGUGAUAUAAGUUAUAGAUUCGAAAUUGUCCUCUUGAGCUUAGCUGAGUUAGUAAAGAGAAUGCAUAAAAUAUGCAAGGUACUCUGUUCAAAUCCCGGCCACCAUAAAAAAAGUAAUAGAUUAGAAAUUGUUUUUUGCUCAAAAAAAUAAUUGAAAUUGUUUCAUUAAUUUAAUAAUAAAAAUACAAUAUUAGACUUAUUACUAUUUGCACACCUGUUUUAGACAUACAUUCAUCACCGCACUAUCCAGAACUGGGCUGAGCCCAAUAACCUGUUGGCUUAUUUCCUCUACCUCCACAUUUCAUUCAUCCAGAAACCCUAAAACCACGUUCUUCAUUCUCUCCCUCCCUCCCAUGAGCGCCGCUGCCAUCCUCUGCACCACAUGCACCGUCGAGCUCAGCCUCCUUUGGCCUAAAUAACCUCAUUUUUUUUCAUCUUCUCAACUCUCUAUACCUUAACAUACAUACAGAAUCAUGAAAAGAGCAAAGUACAACAAUGGGUACUUUAAUUUGACAGAGAUUUCAAGCAAACUCCGGCCUAGUUUGAACAAUGGAGAAACAUAUUCUUCCUGCUUUCCUUCUCCCGUUCAAUUUUUUUGUGUAAGUUUCCUUUGUUCUGUAUAUUCUCCUGAAAGUCCUAAUUUUUCUGAAACCAUAAUAUUUUUUACUUCGAAAUUCAUCGUAUAAUUUAUCUAUGGGUUAGAUUUAUUUAUCGCUUAAUUUGAUUUUUGAACAAGGUUAUGUUUUUUUUCACAUAUCCCCCAUUUCUAUUUUGAACAUAUACUUCCUCUCAUUAUUAGAAUACCAUUUUUGUUGAUACAUAAGAUUAUUGUUGGGUUUCGGGUUAAGGGUUUAGGGUAAGUUCUCUUUCCUCAUCUAGAUGGACCUUUUCUCUUUCCUCUUAUACUCUUCAUAUUUUCAUUUCAUGUGAUACCAAUAAUAAUAAUAAUAAUAAUAAUAAAUUCCUGAAAGGAACAGUAUGAAAGGUUUUAACUUUAUGGACAUGGCAAGGGUUAGGAAAUGAUGGAUAUGCAAGUGAAUAAGAUGGCAAGACUUUAAAUACCACUACCUGUAAGAAUAAUUAAAUUGUUAAUAUUUAGGCUUUAUUUGGGGAAGGUAAGGGAAUUGAAAUACAAUGAAUACUUUUGUUUUUAAGGCGAAGGUUGAACUUGAUAUUGGGAAGGCUUUAUAUGCCUGACCUACAUGGUAGCUUUUUGUUUUUUCUUCCCACAUUUAAAGGCUUCUUCUGCUAUAGCCGUUUUUUUCUUGCUGCCAUAUCUGACAUAAAAUUUUGCCUUUUUCAAACUAUAUUUGAUCCCUUAGCUAAAUUUUUUUACAAAAUUUGUCCAAUUGUAUAUCUAAAUUGUCUUAAAAUUAUGAAGACAAAUAGUAACAUAAGGUUAUCAAAGUUCAAGAGGGCGUGCAUCUUUGUUGAAGUUGUCAUAGCAAGAAGAGUAGCCAUUGAACUUGAAAAUGAAUUUGGUAUAUAUUAAUAAUUCAAUAUUCUUGAAUUUUUUUUAAUCUGUUUUUUGUGGAUGAGGUGGAAAUGGUUAAACUUUAUGAUAUGGUAUAUAUUAAUAAUUCAAUAUUCUGUUUUUUAAUCUGUUUUUUCAUAACAUGUUUGUUAUUUGAAACUUUGUCUUUCUCUAUUUCUUGGAGUUAGUAUCUAGCAACUAUUUGAUUCAAAAGACGUGAUUUUUUUUUUGUUAAGGAUGAGUAGUUUUACUCACAUAUUUUUAAUGUUAAAUCUAUCCCUUUUUUUCUUUUACAUAAUGUAUCAAAGUUUUAGGUUGUUUGUGGUGAUCCCUUUUUUUUUUUUUUUUUUUUUCCUUGGUUAAUUCAACCCUUCUAACUCAACUGUUUUUUAGAUAUCUAUGGUCUUUAACCAUUUAUCAUUUCAAACCUUUUAGGCUUUAAAAUAAAAUACUCUUUUUUGCAUUAAUAUGUGCAUCUAAGUUGUACAUGAUCAAACUUGUGCGUUAAUAGUAUACUCCCUAUACCUUGACACACGGUUCUUUCUUUGGGAGCAAGGUAGACAAACUCGAGAUCCUAAGUAAGAUCGGGUAGGACCCAUGAGAUCGUGAAUCGGGGGAUCCUAACAUGGAUCGUAAGAUCCUACCAAAUUAUGAAGCACCAUAAUUUAAUAGGAAAAAAAAACUUUAAAUAAAACUCAAAUUCAUUUCAUUUAAUAGAAAAGGAAAAAAAACAGUACUCAUACAUGAUAACCCGACCCGACAAACCCGGAUUUUUGGAAAACGAAAAACUAACCGGGCCGCGAAGCCGGUUUCUGGGUUUUCAACCUAACGCGGCUGGAUCUACGUUACCACCGCUUCCACGUUUUUGCGCGGCGAUCCAAGCCGUUCUUACCAAUUUCCGAUUCCGGCCACUUGUGAGCACGAAGAGGCCUGGCAAGAUCGUGGAACCGUACGAUUCUACGGUCCAGAUCGCGAGUUUGUCUACCUUGUUUGGGAGGCCAUCUAUUUUUUUUCCCUUAAAUGCUGGGUUAUUUUUUUGUGAUGGCAAGCCUGCUGUCCUAUUUUGUUCUUAUUUUUGUAUGGAUCUUUUUUGCUUGGCUUGUGCUUUUGGUGUUUGUAACUUUGUAUUAUAACUAAGUUGCAUCCAAAUAAACUAUGAAACCAUGAGAAAGUGGUAUUUAUUAGUAACAACUUUGUAUUUAUUAUUCGUUAGUUUUGAAAGUUAAAUUUAGAGGCUGAAAAAGUGUUAUUUAUUAUUGGUACACAAGCACUUAAAAAAGAAAAUAGAGAGCAAAUUGAUUGAUGUAAAAAAUAUCAAGUGCCUUAGGUAAGUUUCAAGUAUGAUGGUGAAGUCUAAAUGUAAAUAAUAUGAAGAUACUCUAAACUAUAGAAAUAUACAUAUUAGUGUAAGUAAAAAUACGAAGAUUACAUCUUAUGCCUGAUAUUUUCUUAAACUACACAAAUCUGCAGGUGAUUUUGACAUGCUUGCUUGGCUCUAUCCAAACACUUUGAGAUACUGUGGGAUGAAGGAGCAGUCAAAGUGUCCCAUGAGGACUUGUUUACAUGCUUGGUUGCUGCUGUCGAAAUACACAUUAUCGCUGUAAGUAAAAGUAAAUGAAAACAAACAAUUGUGUAAGCUGUUUCUGAUUUGAAGAAAGUUCAAUAUUUUUAGUUUGCAACGGGUUUCUUAUUGUUUUGUACAGAACAGCAUUUGUAUGUCAUGUUUUUUCAUUUAAUAAUAUUUGUAAACACUCACAAACACACAUAUUUAGCCUUAUAACCCUAUUUUGUACUAAGAAUGUUAUGAAUGAUGAGACUUUGCAUAAGACAAUAAAGGUUUAAAAGUAUAAUUAUAAAUAUAAAUGUUAUGAAUAAAAUAGAUGUAGCUGUCAAUGUAGAAAUGAUGGUAGAAUGUUCUCUUAGGCCAUUUGGUUAUGUGAGGGGAGGAAACCUGUAGAAAUUAAAGGAGUAAGAGUUAAUAUGUGCGAGCAUUGUGUUCAGCAUAAAUAACUUUUUAUUAAGGGCUUCAUCAAGAUGCUAUACCUUAAACUUGUUUAUUUAGAAAAGAUCUAUCAUUUGCUUUCAUAUUAUGGGCUUCUAGCUGAAAAAAUGAAGAGGAUAAUAGAAACUUAAUGAGUACCAUGAAAAGAUAUAUCCCUUAAAUUUUAUGAAAACCUAUAAUUUGGUGAAAUAUUCUUAUUAUUGUAUUCUUUUGGAAUGCCUUCAUACCGCUGGUGUGGUUCCUUCAAGAAUUCGUUGAUUUGGUUGUAGAAACCUAUGGAAGGUAGAUAAAGAAGAGGCAAAAAGAUGCAUGUUGAAUAUACAAAUGGAGAAUGACAAAAAGAUAUCCAUGUACUUACACAUAUCUUGUUAAAAAGAGUGCAUACCAAUGAGAUCAGCUUUUUGUUUUAUCAUCUAAUAUACCACCUGCAUCAUCAAUUGGAGAGUAUGUUUAUGUAAGUUUAUCAAACAUCAUGAAAAUGUAUUACAAUACAAUCAUUAAGGAAAAAGAAGCAGAAACUUACUUUGCUAGAAAAAUGUAUGAAGGAUUUUUGGCAUGAUAGAGAUGAAUGAAUGAGAUGGGAAGGCAAUGGUUUAAAUACACUUGAGGAAAGGGAAAGGGGGAGAGGAGCGUGAGAGAGAGAAAGGGGGAGGAAGAUUAAGUAAUAAAGAAAUAAGGAGCUUGGCGCCCAAGAAAGCUUAAAUGCUGCACUGCACACCUGCACUGUACAACACUGCACACCUGCACUGCAGUGACACCUUGGCUGCUUUUUUUGAUAUAUUGCCACCAUUGAAAUGACCAGCAGAGUUUGGAGAAGAGCCCAAUUCACUGGUAGUGUAUCGCACGGUAAUAUCGGAGACUUCUCUACUGUAAGAUUUAUAGAUGGCACAUUGCAUUAAUACUCCUAAACUUUUCAAGAUUUAUUGACAGUGCUUACAUUUAACUUAUACAUUGUGUUUUUAACUCUACAACUUUUGUGUCCCAAGGGAGAGAUGAUGCAUGGAAAAGCAAAAAUGAAUUUGCUCUUUCACUUGCUUGAAAUUCUUCAUAGUGAAGAGUUGGUGGCAACAGAAGAUAAUAUUGAAAGUGUUUGAGUGGAAAUUGUUGAGUGGAAAUUGUUGUCUGAUACUUCCAUUUAUCAACUUCCAUUUAUCCUGCAAUGUGUACUUCCUGCUAACCAAUAAAGUUUGUCUUUUUCCCCUGUGAUCGUUUUGUUUGGCAUUCACUCAAAUACCCCUCGGCAGUUAACUGCCGAAAUUUUAGAAAUACGGCUGCAGUUAACUGCCGAGGGGUAUUUGAGUAAUUUACUCGCGUGGCACAGCCAAACCAAAAGUGGGAACAACAAUUCUCCAAGAAUAUUCAAUUCAAAGUUGCAGAAUCAACGAAACAGGGUUUAUGGUUUUUCUGUCUCUCUUCGACUUUAACUCCAAAUAAUCACUUUCAUGGCACCAAUGCUUCACUACCAAACCAACUUAUGUAAAUAAGCCCUUUUUCCUAUUCACCCUUUUCGCUACUUCUUCAACCUAAAACGGAACCUUUCUCACACUAUAAAGCUGGGGUAUUAUUGGGUUUGUUUUCAGCCAUGCGGGUCUCUUCUCAGAGUACCGCUUUUAGGUCAACUUUUUAUUGCCCCUCUUGUUUCUCUUUUUCUUCUUCUUCUUCUUCCAGACCCUUUCGUUCUUCUCUCUCUUCUUUAGGUUUUUUUGCUAACUAUGGUUCAUCUCAACACAGGUUUGUUCUUUCUUAAUUCAAAGUUCUUGUCUUUUUUAUAUUUGGUCUUGUUUUUAGGUUGGCCCAUGUGCUAAUAUUGCUUCUUAAGUUGAGGAAUUUUAUGUGUUGUGUUUUGAGUUUGGUGGAAUUUUUACUUGUUUUUGGAUUAUUUGUUUGUAAUGUGUGCACACUAUGUUUGUUGUUUUGUUUUGUUUUGUUUGUUACUAAAGCACGGACACUUCAAAUUGAAGGCACACAUGUGUCUGACACCAACGUGUGUGUCCGACACCGUACAACACAUGUGAUCACAUUCAAUUAUGUCAUUUUCUCAAAUUAUUAACAAUGUUUCUCAAAUUAUUAACAAUGUUAGACGGUGUGACUCGUGAGUGACAAUGUCGCGUCCGGUGUCACUGUCUGCUUCAUAGAUUGUUCUAUUAAUAAUAUUUUUGAAUGAAAUAUCCUGUUCUCUACUAGCUUGGCUGAACUUUUGAUCCCCGCCUCAAAUAUAAGGAAAUAAAAGUCAAACUAAGUAGAUGUUGCUUGGUCGAAUUUCUUUUGCUUAUAUUUGAGACCGGAGUACUCAACAAUGCAUUCGUAAAGAUGAAGUUUGUAAUAGAAGUUUGGUUUUGUUUCUUCUUUCCUGCAUUUUGUGAAACUGUUUCUGAAGUGGGGAGAGGGUGUGAGGAUGGUAUUCAGCUUUGAAGCACAAAUGUGGAUACCAACACUGACACCGAUAAUAAUUUUAGAAAAUAGAAGUGAUUGUAUGUAAUUAUUAGUGUCAGUAUCGUGUCGAUGUAGUACACACCUUCAAUUGGAACUGUAGGGGCUACAUAGGUAUUGAGUAAAUGUGUAUAGAGUUUGAUUUGAUAGUAAAAGUGAACAGGAACUGUGUAGGAAGUUUGUUUGUGGUGUGUUCAGAUAAAAAUCUAUAAAGCUUUUGCUCAUUGUAUUUUUAGGGGUUUUCUCAUAUGGUUGUCUUUCUAACUAUAAAAUCGUAAAUGUUCAGUUUAUGGACUGUUCUGGUGUUGUGAAGGCUUGAACAGUACUUUUUUAUUUUAAACACCGGUAAAUUUUUUGUCACGUGAUUGAAAGGUCACGGAUGCAAGUCCUGGAAAUAGCCUCUUGUGUAAAAAUCAAGGUAAGGUUGCGUACAAUACACCUAUUGGUGGGACCCUUUCCCAGACUUUGUGUAUGCAUGAGCUUUAGUGCACCGGGCUGCCAAAUGCCAAAUACAAAUUUGAGUGAAAAUAAAAAUAAAAACUCAAGGGUUUAUAGAAAUGGUUACCUCGCACGAGGUGUAACCGCUGGAAUUUUACAUCGCUUAAUGAUUUCUAGUAGCUUGAUGUUUAUGUUAAAGUUUGAUUUUAAAUUUGUUAGUUUGCUUAACUUUUAUCCAUUGUUUUAAAAAUGAAUAUUAACAAUUCAACAUUGAAUAUCUAGAAGCAAGUCAUAAGGUUUAAACCAUGAAGUGGUAUGUAAAUGACUUUACUGAAAUUCUUCUAUAGUCUUCUUCUUCCUCCUUUUCUUCUGUAAAUUUUGUUAUUUAUAUUGGAAAUCAAUAUUUUGUAUUACUCAUGAAAAAGCGUGCAUGUUAAAAUUGGUUUGCAUUGGAUGUUGACUUUUUGCUGUGUACAAGUCCUUGUUUCUCGUUAAAAGGUUGAGACUGGAGUAAUUAAAAAGAACUUCACAUAUACUAAUGAAGUAUUUAUAUUUUAAUUGGUUUCAUAGAUGCUAAGAAGCCCAAAGAAAAAAUUAUAAAAUACCCAGCU
rnacentral:lncRNA from 1 species